UGUCUAGUCUCCAGGUUCCGCGACGCC
rnacentral:piRNA from 1 species